UACGUAGGGGGCAAGCGUUGUCCGGAUUUAUUGGGCGUAAAGAGCGUGUAGGCGGCCAGACAGGUCCGUUGUGAAAACUCGAGGCUCAACCUCGAGACGCCGAUGGAAACCGUCUGGCUAGAGUCCGGAAGAGGAGAGUGGAAUUCCUGGUGUAGCGGUGAAAAUGCGCAGAUAUCAGGAGGAACACCGGUGGCGAAGGCGGGUCUCUGGGCCGAUACUGACGCUGAGGAGCGAAAGCGUGGGGAGCGAACAGG
rnacentral:rRNA from 1 species